UAGGGAAUCUUCGGCAAUGGACGAAAGUCUGACCGAGCAACGCCGCGUGAGUGAAGAAGGUUUUCGGAUCGUAAAACUCUGUUGUUAGAGAAGAACAAGGACGAUAGUAACUGAACGUCCCCUGACGGUAUCUAACCAGAAAGCCACGGCUAACUACGUGCCAGCAGCCGCGGUAAUACGUAGGUGGCAAGCGUUGUCCGGAUUUAUUGGGCGUAAAGCGAGCGCAGGCGGUUUCUUAAGUCUGAUGUGAAAGCCCCCGGCUAAACCGGGGAGGGUCAUUGGAAACUGGGAGACUUGAGUGCAGAAGAGGAGAGUAGAAUUCCAUGUGUAGCGGUGAAAUGCGUAGAUAUAUGGGGGAACACCAGUGGCGAAGGCGGCUCUCUGGUCUGUAACUGACGCUGAGGCUCGAAAGCGUGGGGAGCAAACAGG
rnacentral:rRNA from 1 species